rnacentral:rRNA from 1 species
GAUGAACGCUAGCGGGAGGCCUAACACAUGCAAGCCGAGCGGUAUUUGUUCUUCGGAACAGAGAGAGCGGCGCACGGGUGCGGAACACGUGUGCAACCUGCCUUUAUCUGGGGGAUAGCCUUUCGAAAGGAAGAUUAAUACCCCAUAAUAUAUUGAGUGGCAUCACUUGAUAUUGAAAACUCCGGUGGAUAGAGAUGGGCACGUGCAAGAUUAGAUAGUUGGUGAGGUAACGGCUCACCAAGUCAAUGAUCUUUAGGGGGCCUGAGAGGGUGAUCCCCCACACUGGUACUGAGACACGGACCAGACUCCUACGGGAGGCAGCAGUGAGGAAUAUUGGACAAUGGGUUAGCGCCUGAUCCAGCCAUCCCGCGUGAAGGACGACGGCCCUAUGGGUUGUAAACUUCUUUUGUAUAGGGAUAAACCUACUCUCGUGAGAGUAGCUGAAGGUACUAUACGAAUAAGCACCGGCUAACUCCGUG